ACGAUUAAUCCGAAGAAAACACAUUUCAAUCCUACAUCUAAGGGUUUCAGCCAAAUCGCCUCUCUCUAAGAAACCUAAUCGACCUCUGUAGUUGAUUUGCAUUUAAUCUCAUCAUUACUUCACUUCAUCUUCCUUCUCUGUGUUCAAUUCUCAUUAUAUCCCCAAGGCCCAAACAAAAGUCUUAGUUAGCAGACAGAAGCUACAAUGAGAAGAAGGUGCUGUCUUCAUCCUUUCAAAUUCCCAUCAUCAGCCCUUUAAUUUGGGAUUGAAGAUUCAUUUUAAGACGCUACAGGGUCAUUCUACUAUGACGAUGGUUGUUCGAUUAGGCACCUGAAGGUCAGCACACAUGUAUGGUUAGGGUUCAGCGGUGGUUGACAGUCUUCUACGAACAGCAAGGGGGUAGGGUUCUGACGAGUCGAACUUGACACGACGAUGGCAAUGGGUGUUGAAUGAUGAGAAAGGUUUAUUAUGCCACCAACUGCUUGAUGAAAUGUGUCAUCCACCUUUGCUGCAAUUGAAUGGCUUACUUAUGCCCACCAACUGCUCGAUGAAAUGUGUCAUCCACCUUUGCUGCAAUUUGUAUGUGCAGAUAUGUAAUUAUAUCAGCAGGUAUUGUCUUUUUAGUGAUGAUUCCAACCUAUUUCAAAGGUUGUUGAAACAUAUCAACCGGGUGUGAUCGUUCUCCAAUGCGGAGCAGAUUCGCUGGGGACCGCUUAGGCUGCUUCAACCUCUCUAUAGACGGACAUGCUGAAUGUGUUAGGAUUGUAAAAAAAAUUGGUUUGCCUCUGCUGGAACGGGAGGUGGAGGAUAUACCAAAGAGAACGUUGCCCGAUGCUGGACUGUUGAAACAUGAGAGCUUUUAGAUACAGAGCAGGUAAGAUAACCCUCUUUAAGUAUCCGUAUUAAAAUGAAACGUAUACUAAGUUAAAGCUCCAUAUAUAUCUUGCUUUACAAUUUUCUCCUUUUUACGUUCCUUUUUGUAAUUUGAAUAUCAUCCGGCAGACGACAAGCUGACACUGGAAACGACACAUUGUACAUUGAUGGCGUUUUACCAGUGGUCUUUUAUUGUGUAUGCAGAAUGUAAGGUUUCAAGUUUUAGCAUUGAUAAAAAUAUAAAAUAAGAGCUAUAUAUUUAUGUCAUUUUAUUGGUCAUGUGUUCUUAAUUGGGGACUAAAGUUGUCUUUCUUUGACCCGACCCGUUUCAACCUAACUCCAUUUGUCCUUUCACCCAACCCGCCCAUCUUGCCACAUGUAAUUACUAAUUAGAAUUUAAUGUCAUUAUUUUCCCGAGUCAAGUUUAAAUCUAUUUUUUCAGAUUUUUUUUUUUCAACUGGAAUGGAGUACAGGUUCAUUAAUUUGAUAGUGCAUCAUUAGUCAGGGAUGCAGAAAAUAAGGCACUUCCUUCGACUAGCAGUCUGCAUCUAUUUUACACAGUGAUGAGUUCAUUCCUUUAUUCCGGGGAAGCACUAGAGUCAAACGUUUGGCUGAUGCUGGAAUGCUUAUGGACGCGUAAGAUCAAUAUAUGUUUAAGUUUCCAACCUCCGCUUCCGAAGACACACCAUCACUCAUCACCUACCACCACUCUCCUCAUCUACCCUUCCACCUUAGAAUCACCAACAUCACCUCCACGAACCUCCACCACAGUCGGACACAGGACACCGAUCACCGGGUUUCACUUAAAACUUUGAUCUUUUCUCGGUUUGUUAAAAAUGAGCUGGUGUACAUUUGCUAAGGGACAUGUAUGAGGGUGUUGUUACCUUCCAGGUACUUCAAAUUUGAGGAUAUUAACUAUUUUAGUGGUGAUGGUGGACAUAUGCAAAGGGACAUGUAUGAAUGUGUUGCUACCUUGCAGUUGCUGGUACUUCCAAUUAGAGGAAUUUAAGUACUGUUCAUAUUACAUCAUUUUUAUUGGUGAUUCUCACGACAAGGCUAUCAACAAGAUUAGUGGUGUCUUCAUGCAAUGUUUCACAUGCUUUGUUGAAUUUUGGUCAUAAACUAUCUACUUGUGAACUUGGUAGUUAAAAUGUUGUAAGCCGAUUCGAAUACCUAAAAUAUGCGUAAUCUUCGACGUAUAUGGAAGGAAGAACUCAGGAAAAGGAAUCUAAUGACCAAAGGAUUGAAAGAAAGUUGUAUGAAACUAUUCGUACUGAAUUAUAUGAGGCUAACCAAACUCAUAACAACGGUGUCUAAAAAAAAAAAAACGAUAUUGACCAGCCUGAUGAUGCAACAGUGGAGUCAAUUGUUUUAGAGAAAAUCACCAGCAUUAUGGAUGAAACCAGUGCCAAAAUGAGAUCUUGGAGAAACAUAACAAGACUGAAAAGUUGUAAAAAAUAAAAGAUAUUGUUGGGCUAUGGACUGGGGGAAUAUUAUUUUGAAUUAAGUAUGGGCCUACCAUGUUUAGUAUACUGUAAUACAAAAUUAGCUUAUGAUAAUUCGACCUUAUGGUA